AGACAUGGGAGCCAGCUUCAGCAAACUGCCAAAUGGAAGCCUCGUCUUAAUAGACAGUAAGGGUUCCAGGAUUUAGACAAAAAAUACUAAAAGAGUGUGGAGCAGGGCUGUGUCAGGUGAAGCUCUAUUGCCCACAUUCUGACUGUGAGAGGGGAGAGUUGACCUCAUCUGGACUCCACCAGAAGAUCCGGCAGGUUGUGGAUGUGGACGGAUCCUACUAUGUGGCAGCAGGAUACCUUUAUUGUCCCAAAUGCAGUAGGAAGGUCAUCAGUUGGAACAUAUGGUUCCUUACACUGUUCUACGCAAAUACACUGAGGAACUGAUCGGUUUGGAGUACCUCUUCGUUCAGACUGGUUUGGUGCUGCAGGAUUAUAAAGGCUGCCAUUGAGGAAUUGGAGACGGGUGAUCCUGAUAUCCAAGGGGAGGAUGAUGAGGGCUUUGUGGAGCUUGUAGAAGUUCCGGACCUGACAGUUCCAGUGCUGGAGACAGCCCUGCCUCUUGUUGGCACCUGUCGUCCUACUCCCACCCCCUCUACCAGCAUCCGGUCCACAGCUGCAUCAGUCAGUCCUCUGUCCUCCACACCUGAGUUUGCCAGUCCAUCAGUCAGUCCCCUGUCCUCCACUCCAAGAUGGGCUACUCCACCACCUGGGCCCCUGUCCUCCACACCUGAGCUCGCCAGUCCAUCAGUCAGUCCCCUGUCCUCCACUCCAAGAUGGGCUACUCCACCACCUGGGCCCCUGUCCUCCACACCUGAGCUCGCCAGUCCAUCAGUCAGUCCCCUGUCCUCCACUCCAAGACGGGCUACUCCACCACCUGGGCCUCUGUCCUCCACACCUGAGCUCGCCAGUCCAUCAGUCAGUCCCCUGGCCUACAUUCCUGUACGGGCUACUCCACCACCUGGGCCUCUGUCCUCCACACCUGAGCUCGCCAGUCCAUCAGUCAGUCCCCUGGCCUACAUUCCUGUACGGGCUACUCCACCACCUGGGCCUCUGUCCUCCACACCUGAGCUCGCCAGUCCAUCAGUCAGUCCCCUGGCUAACGUUAGUCCAUGGACCAUAUAUGUUCUUUUUAAAGUCUGAUUUGGCUCCGGCAGUCAAAACAGCCAAAUACUCCAUGUAAAGUAUUGGGAUGGUGAAAUGUUUUGGCUGUACUCCAGCACUUUGGGUUUGAAAUGAUACUGUCAGACUGUCAGCUUUAAUUUGAGGGUGUUUUCAUCCAUGUUACACCACUUUUUAUUACACCACUUUUUGUACAUAGUCCCCCAAUUUAAGAGGAAACAAAAGUUUUGGGAUAAAUUCACUUAUGUGUAUUAAAGUAGCCAGAAGUUUAGUAUUUGGUCCCAUAUUCCUAGAACACAAUGAUUACAUCACGCUUGUGACUUUUCCUCUGUUUUGGUUGUGUUUCAGAUUAUUUUGUGCCCAAUAAAAAUGACUGAUAAAUAA